rnacentral:rRNA from 1 species
GUCCACGCCGUAAACGAUGGGUGCUAGAUGUCGGGCAGCUUGCUGUUCGGUGUCGUAGCUAACGCGUUAAGCACCCCGCCUGGGGAGUACGGCCGCAAGGUUAAAACUCAAAGGAAUUGACGGGGGCCCGCACAAGCGGUGUAGCAUGUGGUUUAAUUCGAUGCAACGCGAAGAACCUUACCAGGUCUUGACAUGGGAAGUAUGGGCUCCAGAAACGGAGUCCUUCAGUUCGGCUGGCUUCCACACAGGUGCUGCAUGGCUGUCGU